GGGCCCAACUACUGUGCUAACCAGAACAGCGCAUGUGACAAAGGGAAUUCUUUCCUUUCUUUUGCUGUUCUUUGCUGCCUUCCAGGAAGAUUUAAAUAGCAACAAAAAAGCAAAACACCCCACUUUCGAGUUUCAAGCACAGCCUGUUCCUCCACAAGAAAAGGAGAAGCCUCAGAAAAACAUACCCACAAGUCUCAUUCAGCUCCCCUGACUAGGUCUUGGCUAGGGGCUCAGCUAACCGGCUCCCAAGCACACAGGGCAGCGAGGAAGAGAUCUGCUCUGGCUUCCUGUGGAUUCCGGGAUGCAGUGGAAGCCACAGAAUUUCCAGGUGGACUCUUUGCACAUAUCCUCAUCCCCUGCAAGAGGAGGGCAGAGAUUUUGUGCUGGAGUUUGACAUUAAAAGCCUCAUUCUGGCUGAGGCCUGACAGAGCAGAAAAGCCUGAAAUUAAUGCCAACCUCAGGACAUCUGGAACACACACCAGGCCAGUGGAUCUUUAAAUUAAAACCCAGACUUCCCUGCCUGCCUCCUCUGCACUUUCAAGCAUCAGGCAACACAUGUCAGCAGUCCACAGAGCACAGGAUCCUGCUUCCUGAACAGGUCUCGGUAGGUGGUGCCCAAUGUGGGGCCUGAGCUUGGAGUAACUCAGCAAACUGAAACGAAGAGACAGACACUCUGGAACUGAUUAAGUAAUUCAUGGGUUUUAGGUCUGCACUGGAUGUGAAAGCACUCUGGCUGUGACACCUGUUACCCCACUGAUCACCAGGAUUGAUUCAGCUGAUCUGAAUGGUGAGGCAUUCACAGCACUGCAUGUACAGUCAUCCCUCCAAAGCUGUCUAUGCACACCCCAGAUGGCGAAGGGCUGCUUCCUCUGUCAAGGAUACAUGAACAGCUGUGUUCCCCUGCUACAACCUCCAAACAAGCUAAUCCAUACGUUGGAAACAAUCCUGAUGAAACAGUACCGAGAAAUGGAAACCGUAGGAGGUGAUGACAUCACGAGGACUCUUCCCUGCAUCUUAGUAUAACAGUCACCACCAAGAAGCGCAUUCACACAGCCACUGGAGCCAUCCUACUGUGCUCCCCCCGGUGAGACAGUGAAGUCCCCUGCCCUUUCAGCUUGGCUAAUCCAGGAUUUGGUGUUUCUUUCACUCAGAAGCAGGAUGACUGAAAGUUAUCUAUCAAGAAUCUACAGAUCAGCCUCCGGGGAACCGAUCUGUGACCCUGCGUUUCCCACCUGCACACCCUUGGGCUCCAGGAGGUGGCCAGCAGUGCUCCCUGACCUUGGUGCAGAAAGCAAGGGCAAGAAGGAGCAGAGAGCUGGGGUCACCAUGUUCCAGAGUCAGUAGUACCAGAAGUCUUCUCGCAGGACUCUCUGCUGUCCACCAGUGUGAAUGCAGGCACAUUGGCCCUUUUCCCAGUGAACACAGCUACGAGUAUCACAUCUGUGCGGAAAGGAAGCAGUCCUCUUUCAGCAACCCUCCCCAUCUCGGUCCUUAUUAUCAGGGAGGGAAACUCUUGCCUCAUUCUUUGAAAAAGACAUCUCCCCUCGUCUGCAAAAAAGGACUCCUCCUCCCCAGAGCUGCAGAGCAAGGAGGCAAUGGUGUGAAGGCACAGUGUGCAGUGGGCACAAUGCUACCAGAACCACAGCAAUGGGAGAGUUUCUGCACAGCCAUCCUUUGCAGUCCCAGACCAGGCUCCUACACUCUGGGCAUCAGCAGUUUCUCCCUGUGCCAGGAAGGUUGCCAGUUCCUUUAUCUUCACUCAAGACAGGUGUGGGCUUGGUCCUGUAGCUGCAGUCUCUGUGUUCCUGUAAUGAUGCACUAUGCACCCCUCCUUGCCUGGCCCGUGAUGAUGUCACUGUGGAGAACUGUGCCCAGAAUCCUGCACAGGGAAGAGUGGGGCACAGUACCUGGUGUUUAUUUGUCUGUAAGCUCCCUUUGUUUGUUGUAAGUGUUGUGGAAAACACCAGGACUGAACCUGAUGGAAGACAUGCAGCAUCAACGCAUUUGGAAGAAAACAGAUUUAUUUAUGCAAGCAGGCUGGGGAAACUCAGUUCCAAAUCACCAGCCUCUGCUUGAGGUUAAACAGACACUUUUACACAUAUUAAGUGUGAAGUAUAAAAGGCUGAUACUGGGUCAUGUUACAGUUGGUGCUUGUAGCCCAAAAACGAGCCCCCAAAAUGGUGUCCAAAAUGGGGCAAGACAUGUUUUUUGAAGAAAAAGCAGCACUGUUUAUUUUAACCUGGUACCAGGGACACAGUGCAGUUGGGGUUUGCAAAGCUGUGUAACUUGCUUAAAACUUUUACAGACUUCUGUAGAAAGAGCAAUUACAAAGUGAAUGGCUUAUGGGCAUGGAUCAGGAAAUCCUUGAUCCACUGAGGAAUGAGGAAGACCUUUGUUUCCCUUUGCAGAGGACAGAGAGGUCUCACAGGAAUUUACAAUCCUUUGUCAGCUAAUUUUAGCACUUAAUUUUAGAUAACAUCUGUCCUUUGCAGAGGGUAGCAAUGGUUAACAUAUCAAUCAGGUCACCCAGAAAGAUGACACAUAUAGAACAGUAUGAUGGUGCUAUAGGUUGUAGAAAAUAGUUGCGUUUGCAAAGGGAAUUCACAGGUAAUUUGGUCAUAUAACUUGGGCAUUGGCAAACACAACACAAACAUAACGAAGCUCUUUUUGUUAGUGUAUAACAUUGGUCAUAGAUGUCUUAUCAUACAUUGUUAGGCAAAUUCAUUUUUGGCAGGUUUAGUUGGGGGUUUCUUAUCAUACAGAAGGAUGGUCAGGCGAAGCAAGUCAGCACAACAAGAUGUACUUUCUGGCUCAGUUAUGUUUACCCUACACAUUACAGCUGGUGUGAAGGAUGGCAAGGUUAGCUCCGUCUGACACUCUAUGAGUCAGGCUGGGCCUGCCUACCCUGUCCUUAAUACGGUGUCAGAUUAUGGGUUUUUGAAUUUUCCUUUACAAUACCAAGCAACUGUUUCUUCAAUAGUAUUCUGUAGAAUGUAUAUUUUGGAAACCCUGAUCAAUUCAUAAUUAUAUAAUUCUGGAAGAUUUUUUUUUCCUACAUAAUGACUGUGUAGCUGUUAAAUAGAGCUUGCUAGUUAGUUUGUGAUCCUGACUGGAGUGGGUAUAGCUCCUCUUUAUCGAGCAUCUAAGGUGCCAGACAUUGCUCUUACACCUUUACAAUCUCAUUAAGCUCUGUUCAAAACCCUUUCAGAGUCCCAUUAAAAGAAGAGGAAAUUUAAAAAAAAAAAAAAAAGCUGAAAUAAUCUACCCAACGUUGUACAAAAAGUAAUGGAGUCAAGAUUCAAAUCCAGCUCUGAAUUUGAUUUUGAGUUUUCAUCUCUUCUCUUUAUGAAAAUCAGCCAAAAAUAAUUGUGUGUUAGAGAAACUAAAACCAAAACUCCUUACAAACUAGGGAAUAUUUUCUGGUUGUGUCCACCCCAAGUUAUGUCAAAAUUCUAACUCCCAAGGUGAUGGAAUCAGGCAGGAGACUUUGGUGUGUGAUUAGGUCACAAGAUCCUACCAUAAAUGGGAUGAAGCCCCAGGGGAUCACUUGCCCAUAGACCAAGGAAAAUCAGCAAGAAGGCAUUACCUGUGAACAGAGUGAGCACUCACAUGACCCCAAAUGUGAUCACACCUUGAUCUUGGACCUCUCAGCUUCUCAAAUGUGAAAAAUUUCUAGCCUAGUAUGAUAGUGCACACCUAAAUCCCAGCACUCUAGGAGGCCAAGGCAGGAGGGAGAAAGUUCUAAAUCAGCCUGGGCAGCUCAUAGGAUUUAGCAAGACACUGUCUCAAAAUAAAAAAAGGACUGAGGAAGUAGCUCAGUGCAGAGGUCCUGGCUUCAGUCCCCAUUACUGUGUUUCUAUUUGGGAUAUGCCACUCAGUUUAUGGUGUUUUUAAAAACAACAACUUGAAUGAACUAAGCCAGUAGGAGAUAGCUAACACCCCAGGUUCUAAAUUAGUUGAAAGGGCUUUCACAGGUAGUAAAAAUCAAGGAAGCAGGUACAAGGGGGUAAGCAAAGAUUGAAUGUACAACAGAGGAAUAGGCUGGCUUUGUGUGCACACCCACAUGCUGGGGUUUAAGGAUUUCUGUAUUUACUUAUGGUGAUCAUUAUUGAGCAUUAUAUUUUCAUGGAAACUUUAGAAAUGUAACAAAUUAGUUAGCAGUCUAAUUCCACGUUAAGACAGGAUAGGCUUAUUCAGCCCACACCACAUUAAAGUUAGACUUCUAGAUUCAAUUAGCCUUGAAUGACUGCAUCCAGCUGUUGCUUUUAGUAGUCUGUCCCAGGUUGGCUUGAUCAAAUCCCACCACACUGCCUGUGUCCCCACCAAAAUAUGCAGUUUUGCUAGCCUGUUCCAAGGACUUUCUACCAACAUAGACUAGCCCAGCCAAGAAUGCACUUGAUUACACCCAUCUCAUCAGGCCCCCGACUCCCCCCCUGGACUCUUCCUCCUUAUGCUAAACAAUCCCCUCUACCUAAGCCUACCCAGAACAAAUUGGCCUGACAACAUAUGCCCAGCUUAUGUAACCAAUUAUGAACUAACUUGCUAUCAGCUUAUGUACUUCCUGUUUGCAAAUCUGUAUAAUCAAACCCCAAAGCUGACUUGGGGCUAGUGAUAUGGAGCAGGUUUCUCACCAGCCCAUCAGUGUAAUAAAGCGUGGCCUUCCCACUGCUCGGUGUGGAGCACCUUCCUUUUGGUCCAGUUCCAAAACAAUAACUCUUCUAUGCAAUGUACACUAAGUGCUUAGACCUGUAUAUUUCCCUGAGAUAUGUGUCCCUGUCACAGCUGAAUUGUAUUAGCUUAAGCCUUCAGUUAGCUCAUUUUGUCAUUGGAAAUUCCUGGAAAUUCCUUGCCAUGAAGGUCGUGUGUUCCAGCCACGUUGAUUGCCAAAUAUUGUAAUCCAAAUAUUGUACAUUGUAAUCCUUUUUUCUGCCCCCCCCCCAUUGGCUUGAGAAAUUCUAUAUUUGUAAUCCCAUUAAAACAUUGAAAUCUUGGUGAGUUAAUUCCAAUCUACUACCUCCAGAGCACCCAUGGCAAGAAUAAAGACACUCAGAUAUAUCCAAAGUUAUGGAAGCCAAGGGGCCCAGUUGGUCCAGGUGAAGAUCAUACAAGAAAGGCCUUAAUCCAAGCAUCAUGCAGCAUUUACUAACUCGUGAGGAAGGGAGUGGCUCCCAGAUGAGUGACGGUGAGUAUGAUAGGAAUUACAUGAGUAAUUUGAGCUGAGCUGACCAGAUGAAGAGACAGAACUUCUACAAUAUGCAAGAAGAAGGCUAUGCAGAAAAACUAACCUAUAAACCUCAACUGAGGUCACAUUUGAAUGAUUCAGGAGGUUGUGGCCUUAGUUUUUGAUAAGUAAACUUUUGUACCCUGGGAAGUCACAGCCUCUUAUCUUGAGGCUCAAACCCAGCUGACAUUCCUGGAGCUAUGUGGCUCUGUUAGCCCUUUGUGCAAAACCAUAUAUAGGGAGCACAAUGUGAGGAAACAAAACACUGUCAGCUGGUUUCAGGAUUACAUAUCAGUACCUUAGUGAGCUUUAUUUUACAUUAUAGAGAGCCAAUUAAAGGGGGAAAUAGCAUAGCCAGCUCUGUGCAUAUCAGUAUGUGGAAACAAGUUUUGGUUUAAUGCUGAACUAAUUAUUCUGCCUUCAAGGGGAGCCACCCAGGUUGUCUCUUACGGUGAGUCACGCUAUACGAAUGCUUCAGCCAGGUCACCAAAAGGUCCUUUCCAGUCCCUUGUUAUGUACCUGCAGGGUGCUGCAUGCACCCCAUGGAAAUACAGAAAAAAGCAGUGAUCCAUCACAAAGGCGGAUAUGCUAACACUCGUCUCCUAUCUACUUAAAACUGUAAAAUUAUAUUUUCCCCUUUAAUAUUUCAAAUAUGUUAGUGCAACUUUCUAAUUAAAGUUCAAUCAGAGUAACAUUG